rnacentral:rRNA from 1 species
GUCGAAAGAUCGUGGCCCCACACACUGCUCAGUAACACGUAGUCAACCUACCCUUGGGACGGGGACAACCUCGGGAAACUGAGGCUAAUCCCCGAUAGGUGAGGGACGCUGGAAUGCCUCCUCGCCCAAAGCUCCGGCGCCCAAGGAUGGGACUGCGGUCUAUCAGGCUGUUGGUGGUGUAACGGACCACCAAACCUACGACGGGUACGGGCGAUGGGAGUCGGAGCCCGGAGAUGGGGACUGAGACAAGGCCCCAGGCCCUACGGGGCGCAGCAGGCGCGAAAACUCCGCAAUGCGCGCAAGCGUGACGGGGGAAUCCCAAGUGCCGUUGGUCUUAUGAUCGACGGUUUUUAGGAAGUCUAAGAAGCUUCCAGAAUAAGGGCUGGGCAAGACUGGUGCCAGCCGCCGCGGUAACACCGGCAGCUCGAGUGGUGACCGCUUUUAUUGGGCCUAAAGCGUUCGUAGCCGGUCCAGUAAGUCCUUGGGCAAAUCUUCUCGCUCAACGAAAAGAAUUCCGAGGAUACUGCUGGACUUGGGGCCGAGAGAGGUUAGAGGUACUCCUGGGGUAGGGGUGAAAUCCUAUAAUCCUGGGGGGACCGCCAGUGGCGAAGGCG